UACGUAGGGUGCAAGCGUUGUCCGGAAUUAUUGGGCGUAAAGAGCUCGUAGGCGGUCUGUCACGUCGGCUGUGAAAUCCCGAGGCUCAACCUCGGGUCUGCAGUCGAUACGGGCAAACUAGAGUAUUGCAGGGAGACUGGAAUUCCUGGUGUAGCGGUGAAAUGCGCAGAUAUCAGGAGGAACACCGGUGGCGAAGGCGGGUCUCUGGGCAAUAACUGACGCUGAGGAGCGAAAGCGUGGGGAGCGAACAGG
rnacentral:rRNA from 1 species